AGGUGCUGCAUGGCUGUCGUCAGCUCGUGUCGUGAGAUUGGUUUGGGUUAACGUCCCGACAACGAGCGACCUAACCCUUGUUACUUUAAUUGCCAUCUAUUCAGUUGGGGCACUUUAAAGAGACUGCCGGUGUUAAACCGGAGGAAGUGGGGAUGACGUCAAGUCCUCAUGGCCUUUAUGCCCAGGGCUACACACGUGCUACAAUGGGUGGUACAAAGAGAUGCAAUCUCGCAAGAGCAAGCAAACCUCAAAAAGCCAUCCUCAGUUCGGAUUGGAGUCUGCAACUCGACUCCAUGAAGUCGGAAUCGCUAGUAAUCGCGGAUCAGCACGCCGCGGUGAAUACGUUCCCGGGCCUU
rnacentral:rRNA from 1 species